rnacentral:tRNA from 1 species
GGCUCUGUGGCACAAUGGGCAGUGCAUUGGCCUUCUUGUGAAGAAAAAGCAUUCAAAGGUUGUGGGUUUGAGUCCCGUCAGAGUCA